rnacentral:rRNA from 1 species
GACGGAGGGUGCUAGCGUUGUUCGGAAUUACUGGGCGUAAAGGGCGCGUAGGCGGCCUGGCUAGUCGGAUGUGAAAGCCCGGGGCUCAACCUCGGAACUGCAUUCGAAACUGCCAGGCUCGAGAACGGAAGAGGAGAGUGGAAUACCCAGUGUAGAGGUGAAAUUCGUAGAUAUUGGGUGGAACACCGGUGGCGAAAGCGGCUCUCUGGUCCGGAUCUGACGCUGAGGCGCGAAAGCGUGGGGAGCAAACAGGAUUAGAUACCCUGGUAGU